AUACCUAGCACACACUAACUAGUUUUGUUCUUACGCAGGUUCGUUGACAAGAGCUAUCGAGAAAAAAAAGGAUUCCUCUGAAGAAGACGAUAAAGAAGGAACGAGUCACAUAAUCCAACCCAUUGUCAAAGAAGCUGGAAAAAUGAUAGUUAGUGCUAUGACUGGAUAGAUUUGAUUCAAGAAGAUAUAUAUCACGGAUAAUCACGAUGAAAAUGGUGAAAUGCAGUCAUAUAUAUACAGUACGUUAAUUUGGGAAUAAUUUUAAUUUUUUCUUUCAACGAAGCAAUUGUCACAAGUUGUUAAUAAAAGUUAUACUUAUCAA